rnacentral:tRNA from 1 species
CUGGGGUUGGGGCUCAGUGGUAGAGCACUUACCUAGCAUGUGUGAGGCACUGGGUUCAAUCCUCGGCACCGCAUA